GGACGAACGCUGGCGGCGUGCUUAACACAUGCAAGUCGAACGGAAAGGCCCUGCUUUUGUGGGGUGCUCGAGUGGCGAACGGGUGAGUAACACGUGAGUAACCUGCCCUUGACUUUGGGAUAACUUCAGGAAACUGGGGCUAAUACCGGAUAGGAGCUCCUGCUGCAUGGUGGGGGUUGGAAAGUUUCGGCGGUUGGGGAUGGACUCGCGGCUUAUCAGCUUGUUGGUGGGGUAGUGGCUUACCAAGGCUUUGACGGGUAGCCGGCCUGAGAGGGUGACCGGCCACAUUGGGACUGAGAUACGGCCCAGACUCCUACGGGAGGCAGCAGUGGGGAAUAUUGCACAAUGGGCGGAAGCCUUAUGCAGCAACGCCGCGUGCGGGAUGACGGCCUUCGGGUUGUAAACCGCUUUCGCCUGUGACGAAGCGUGAGUGACGGUAAUGGGUAAAGAAGCACCGGCUAACUACGUG
rnacentral:rRNA from 1 species